GGAAUAUUGGUCAAUGGACGAGAGUCUGAACCAGCCAAGUCGCGUGAAGGAUGAAGGUUCUAUGGAUUGUAAACUUCUUUUGUCCGAGGGUAAAGUGUGGGACGUGUCCCAUUUGGCAAGUAUCGGACGAAUAAGCAUCGGCUAACUCCGUGCCAGCAGCCGCGGUAAUACGGAGGAUGCGAGCGUUAUCCGGAUUUAUUGGGUUUAAAGGGUGCGUAGGCGGAAUGUUAAGUCAGUGGUGAAAGCGUGCGGCUCAACCGUACCGAGCCAUUGAAACUGGUGUUCUUGAGUGCAAGCGAGGUAAGCGGAAUGUGACGUGUAGCGGUGAAAUGCUUAGAUAUGUCCCAGAACUCCGAUUGCGAAGGCAGCUUACCAGUAUGUAACUGACGCUGAGGCACGAAAGCGUGGGUAUCAAACA
rnacentral:rRNA from 1 species